GCGGAUGUAGCUCAGUUGGUAGAGCGUCUGCCUUCCAAGCAGGCUGUCGCGAGUUCGAGUCUCGUCGUCCGCU
rnacentral:tRNA from 1 species